rnacentral:rRNA from 1 species
UACGUAGGGGCGAGCGUUGUCCGGAUUUAUUGGGUUUAAAGGGUGCGUAGGCGGUCUUUCAAGCCAGAAGUGAAAGGCUACGGCUCAACCGUAGUAAGCUUUUGGAACUGUAAGACUUGAGUGCAGGAGAGGAGAGUGGAAUUCCUAGUGCAGCGGUGAAAUGCGUAGAUAUUAGGAGGAACACCAGUAGCGAAGGCGGCUCUCUGGACUGUAACUGACGCUGAGGCACGAAAGCGUGGGGAGCAAACAGGAUUAGAUACCCCCGUAGUCCCUGA